ACGCACGCUGGCGGCGUGCUUAACACAUGCAAGUCGAACGGAAAGGCCCUGCUUUUGUGGGGUGCUCGAGUGGCGAACGGGUGAGUAACACGUGAGUAACCUGCCCUUGACUUUGGGAUAACUUCAGGAAACUGGGGCUAAUACCGGAUAGGAGCUCCUGCUGCAUGGUGGGGGUUGGAAAGUUUCGGCGGUUGGGGAUGGACUCGCGGCUUAUCAGCUUGUUGGUGGGGUAGUGGCUUACCAAGGCUUUGACGGGUAGCCGGCCUGAGAGGGUGACCGGCCACAUUGGGACUGAGAUACGGCCCAGACUCCUACGGGAGGCAGCAGUGGGGAAUAUUGCACAAUGGGCGGAAGCCUGAUGCAGCAACGCCGCGUGCGGGAUGAAGGCCUUCGGGUUGUAAACCGCUUUCGCCUGUGACGAAGCGUGAGUGACGGUAAUGGGUAAAGAAGCACCGGCUAACUACGUG
rnacentral:rRNA from 1 species